UCAAGCUAGAAAGAGCGCAAGGGGAAUGCCUUGGCAUCAGGAGCCGACGAAGGACGUGACAAGCUGCGAUAAGCUGCGGUGAGCUGCACAUAAGCUUUGACCCGCAGAUUUCCGAAUGGGGAAACCCGGCAGAGCAAUACUCUGUCAGCGUGCGUUGAAUCAAAUAGGCGUACGCGGGGAACCGCCUGAACUGAAACAUCUAAGUAGGGCGAGGAAGAGAAAUCAACCGAGAUUCCGCUAGUAGUGGCGAGCGAACGCGGAAGAGGGCAAACCGGAGGAUUUAUCCUCCGGGGUUGUGGACAGUUUUUUAGCAACUGGAACUAGGAGAACGGUAUGGGAAGGCCGGCCAUAGCGGGUGAUAGCCCCGUAUCCGAAAGGGAAGGUUGUGCGACUGGAUCCAGAGUACCGCCGGACACGUGAAACCCGGUGGGAAGCUGGGGGGACCACCCUCCAACCCUAAAUACUACCUGAUGACCGAUAGAGGAGCAGUACCGUGAGGGAAAGGUGAAAAGGACCCCGGGAGGGGAGUGAAAGAGAACCUGAAACCUUGUGCUUACAAGCACUCAAAGCCCGUUAAAGGGUGAUGAGGUACCUUUUGUAGAAUGGUCCGGCGAGUUAUUGUUACUGGCAAGCUUAAGGCAUUCAGUGCCGGAGGCGCAGGGAGACCGAGUCUGAAUAGGGCGUAUGAAGUCAGUGGCAAUAGACCCGAAACCGGGUGACCUAUCCAUGGGCAGGUUGAAGUGGGGGUAAAACCCCAUGGAGGACCGAACGCACGCCCGUUGCAAUGGUCGGCGAUGACCUGUGGAUAGCGGUGAAAUUCCAAUCGAACUCGGAGAUAGCUGGUUCUCCCCGAAAUAGCUUUAGGGCUAGCGUUGGCUUAGAUUACCGGAGGUAAAGCACUGAAUGGGCUAGGGGCCGAUAAGGUUACUGAACCCUAUCAAACUCUGAAUGCCGGAUAAUUGAUGGCCAGCAGUCAGUCUACGUGAGAUAAGUCUCGUGGACAAAAGGGAAACAGCCCAGACCCACAGCUAAGGUCCCAAAGAUACGCUAAGUGGAAAACGAUGUGGAGUUGCGAAAACAACCAGGAUGUUGGCUUAGAAGCAGCCACUCAUUAAAAGAGUGCGUAAUAGCUCACUGGUCGAGUGACUCUGCGCGGAAAAUAUAACGGGGCUAAGCGUAACACCGAAGCUUGGGCUGCACAGCAAUGUGCGGGGUAGGGGAGCGUCGAAUAUGGGGUGAAGUCGCAGCGGAAGCAGCGGUGGACUGUAUUCGAGUGAGAAUGCCGGAAUGAGUAGCGAGAAUUAUGUGGGAAUCAUAAUGGCCGAAAAUCUAAGGUUUCCUGGGGAAGGUUCGUCCGCCCAGGGUAAGCCGGGAGCUAAGGCGAGGCCGAAAGGCGUAGUCGAUGCACAUACGGUUGAAAUUCCGUAGCCACCGAACCUUAAGUACACUGACACAUGGAGAUAGCGGGACCCGGGCGUUGGUUGACCCGGGCGUAAGGGACCGAACUUUAGUAGGGAAGUCCGCGAUGCUCUGUGGCGAGAAAAGGUGUAUGGUAUGCUAAGGUGCCCGUACCGCAAACCGACACAGGUAGAUGAGGAGAGAAUCCUAAGGCCAACGGGAGAAGGGUUGUUAAGGAACUCGGCAAAAUGACCCCGUAACUUCGGGAUAAGGGGAGCCUCCUACGGGAGGCCGCAGCGAAUAGGCCCAAGCGACUGUUUACCAAAAACACAGGUCUCUGCUAAAUCGAAAGAUGACGUAUAGGGGCUGACGCCUGCCCGGUGCUGGAAGGUUAAGAGGAGAUGUUAGCCGCAAGGCGAAGCAUUGAAUCGAAGCCCCAGUAAACGGCGGCCGUAACUAUAACGGUCCUAAGGUAGCGAAAUUCCUUGUCAGGUAAGUUCUGACCCGC
rnacentral:rRNA from 1 species